rnacentral:rRNA from 1 species
UACGUAGGGGGCAAGCGUUGUCCGGAAUCAUUGGGCGUAAAGCGCGUGUAGGCGGCUAGGUAAGUCUGCUCUGAAAGCCCGGGGCUCAACCCCGGGAGGCGGGUGGAUACUGUCUAGCUCGAGUCCGGAAGAGGAGUGUGGAAUUCCUGGUGUAGAGGUGAAAUUCGUAGAUAUUAGGAAGAACACCAGUGGCGAAGGCGGCUCACUGGCCCGGUACUGACGCUCAUGUGCGAAAGCGUGGGGAGCAAACAGG